CUACGGGGUGCACCAGCAGGGAAUAUUGCACAAUGGACGGAAGUCUGAUGCAGCGACGCCGCGUGGAUGAUGAAGGCUUUCGGGUUGUAAAAUCCUUUUCAGGGAGAAGAGGAAGGACGGUAUCCCUGGAAUAAGCGUCGGCUAACUACGUGCCAGCAGCCGCGGUAAUACGUAGGACGCAAGCGUUAUCCGGAUUUACUGGGCGUAAAGCGUCUGUAGGCGGUUUAGUAAGUUUGAUGUGAAAGCUCCAGGCUCAACUUGGAGAGUGCAUUGAAUACUGCUAGACUUGAGGGGAUCAGAGGAAAGCGGAAUUUCCGGUGUAGCGGUAAAAUGCGCAGAUAUCGGAAAGAACACCAGUGGCGAAGGCGGCUUUCUGGGAUCAACCUGACGCUGAGAGACGAAAGCUAGGGUAGCGAACAGGAUUAGAUACCCGGGUAGUC
rnacentral:rRNA from 1 species